rnacentral:rRNA from 1 species
GAUUUCUGGCUUGGUGCGCGCCGUCCGCUCCCGUCAGGGAGUGUGUGCGGUUGUGCGCCUGCCAUCUUUUUAGACAUCAUGCUGUGCCCUUCACUGGGUGGCAGGUGGUGGCUGAAUCUUUUACUUUGAAAAAAUUAGAGUGUUCAAAGCAGGCUUGCGCUAUGAAUACAUUAGCAUGGAAUAAUAAUUUAGGACUGCCGUUCUAUUUUGUUGGUUUCUAGGAUGGAAGUAAUGAUUGAUAGGGAUAGUUGGGGGUGCUAGUAUUCAGAGGCCAGAGGUGAAAUUCUUGGAUUCUCUGAAGACUAACUUAUGCGAAAGCAUU